UACAGAGGGUGCAAGCGUUAAUCGGAUUACUGGGCGUAAAGCGCGCGUAGGCGGCUAAUUAAGUCAAAUGUGAAAUCCCCGAGCUUAACUUGGGAAUUGCAUUCGAUACUGGUUAGCUAGAGUGUGGGGAGAGGAUGGUAGAAUUCCAGGUGUAGCGGUGAAAUGCGUAGAGAUCUGGAGGAAUACCGAUGGCGAAGGCAGCCAUCUGGCCUAACACUGACGCUGAGGUGCGAAAGCAUGGGGAGCAAACAGG
rnacentral:rRNA from 1 species